GCGCACCAGUCGAGAAUUUUUCACAAUGGACGAAAGUCUGAUGGAGCGACGCCGCGUGGAGGAUGAAGGUUCUUGGAUUGUAAACUCCUGUCACUGCAGAACAAGGGUAGACGUGUGAAUAGCCCGUCUAUUUGAUGGUAUGCGGAGAGGAAGGGACGGCUAACUCUGUGCCAGCAGCCGCGGUGAGACAGAGGUCCCGAGCGUUGUUCGGAUUCAUUGGGCGUAAAGGGUGUGUAGGAGGUCAGGUAAGUCGUGUGUGAAAUCUCAGAGCUUAACUCUGAAACUGCGCUCGAUACUGCUUGGCUAGAGGACCGGAGGGGGUAACGGAAUUCAUGGUGUAGCAGUGAAAUGCGUAGAUAUCAUGAGGAACACCGGUGGCGAAGGCGGUUACCUGGAAGAUUCCUGACUCUGAAACACGAAAGCCAGGGGAGCAAACGGGAUUAGAUACCCCGGUAGUCCCUGAA
rnacentral:rRNA from 1 species